rnacentral:rRNA from 1 species
GACGAAGGGGGCUAGCGUUGUUCGGAAUUACUGGGCGUAAAGCGCGUGUAGGCGGUUAUCCAAGUCAGGUGUGAAAGCCUUGAGCUCAACUCAAGAAAUGCACUUGGUACUGGGUGACUAGAGGACCGGAGAGGAUAGUGGAAUUCCCAGUGUAGUGGUGAAAUACGUAGAGAUUGGGAAGAACACCAGUGGCGAAGGCGGCUCACUGGCCCGAUACUGACGCUGAGGCACGAAAGCGUGGGGAGCAAACAGG